GCCUGGCCAGACUCCACAGGCGGCGGGAAGCCAGCUCGGCCUCUCCCGUGUUUAUCUAAAGUGGAACCAAAUGUGGCUCCGUCACAGUGGGGCUCGGUGAGGACUCUUUCCAUGGCUCCACAGUGCUCCCCUCCCACUCAGCAGGAUGAACCCAUGUCUCACCCAUUGGAGGGAGGGUUAAACUUGGGCCUUCCUCAUCAGUGGAACGAAGGAGAAGGCAGACCCUUCUGGAAGAUUCCUGGCUCCUUGAAGCAGAGGCAGUGUUCCUUCAUUAUCUUUCCCCGACAAAAGGAAACCCUCCUCAGAUGUCAUGACUGCAAGCCACAUGAACUUGAAGAGCCUGGUGCCCAUGAGAGCAGCUCCUGUCAGAGGACACACACCUGUGAGAGACCCAGCUGCCAGACAGGCAGCAUGAGCCUGGGAAGACUGUCACUAUGGAUGGAGAAAGUUCCCUUUUCUAUUUUUAAGGAUUUCCCAACUUUCAACACACUCACUCUUCUUGGUUGAAUGAAAUUUCCAAAGUUG